UACGUAGGGGGCAAGCGUUGUCCGGAAUCAUUGGGCGUAAAGCGCGUGUAGGCGGCCCGGUAAGUCCGCUGUGAAAGUCGGGGGGCUCAACCUCGAAUGCCGGUGGAUACUGUCGGGCUAGAGUGCGGGAGAGGCGAGUGGAAUUCCUGGUGUAGCGGUGAAAUGCGCAGAUAUCAGGAGGAACACCAAUUGCGAAGGCAGCUCGCUGGAACGUAACUGACGCUGAGGCGCGAAAGCGUGGGGGAGCGAACAGG
rnacentral:rRNA from 1 species